ACACGUGUCCCUGUCUGAUUCUAUUGUUAAGGUGAUGUGGGUUCUCUUUAGAUAAAUCUUGCUUCCAGCCACUGUUUCAGUUUGAGGACAUGCAGGAAAUCAUUCAGAACUUCGUGCGGGUUCAUGUGGAUGCCCCUGGAAUGGAAGAGGGAGCCCCUGUGUUCCCUUUGGGAUAUCAGUACCCAUCUCUGGACCAGCUUGCAGACAUGAUCCCUUGCGUCCUGCAGUACCUAAAUUUCUCUACAAUAAUUGGAGUUGGUGUUGGAGCUGGAGCCUACAUCCUGGCGAGAUAUGCUCUUAACCACCCGGACACUGUUGAAGGUCUUGUCCUCAUCAACAUCGAUCCCAAUGCCAAGGGUUGGAUGGAUUGGGCAGCCCACAAGGUUUGGAGGGGCGUGUGUGCUGAGACCUAGGGUUGGGGAUCCCCUCGUAUGGAUCCAGUUAGGCUGUCUACCAGAGCCUAACUGGAUGGACUCCGAACUUCAAGGAGGGAGUAAAGGGGCAGGAAAGUGAAGCUGUCACUUUGCCUGAGUCUCUUAUAAUAUCCUGAAUUUUCCUUUUUUCUUUUUUCUUUUUCUUUUUUUUUUUUUUUUCUUGA
rnacentral:sRNA from 1 species